rnacentral:rRNA from 1 species
CCGCCCGUCGCUCCUACCGAUUGAAUGAUCCGGUGAAGUGUUCGGAUCGCGGCGACGUGGGUGGUUCGCCGUCUGCGACGUCGCGAGAAGUCCACUAAACCUUAUCAUUUAGAGGAAGGAGAAGUCGUAACAAGGUUUCCGUAGGUGAACCUGCGGAAGGAUCAUUGUCGAUACCUUAUCGUAAACAGAACGACCCGCGAACGAUUGAUCAUCACUCUCGGUGGUCCGGUGUCUUAGCUGAUUCCGUGCCCGCCGAUUCCGUGGUUAUGCGCGUGGUCUCAGCCAAGAUUCAUAUCUCGGUUGGGUCAUGCGCCUAGCUUCCGGAUAUCACCAAACCCCGGCACGAAAAGUGUCAAGGAACAUGCAACUAAACAGCCUGUGUUCGCCUACCCGGAGACGGUGUUUGCGUGGACGCUGUGCUGCAAUCUAAAGUCUAAAACGACUCUCGGCAACGGAUAUCUCGGCUCUCGCAUCGAUGAAGAACGUAGCGAAAUGCGAUACUUGGUGUGAAUUGCAGAAUCCCGUGAACCAUCGAGUCUUUGAACGCAAGUUGCGCCCUAAGCCUUCUGGCCGAGGGCACGUCUGCCUGGGUGUCACAAAUCGUCGUCCCCCCAUCCUCUCGAGGAUAUGGGACGGAAGCUGGUCUCCCGUGUGUUACCGCACGCGGUUGGCCAAAAUCCGAGCUAAGGACGCAAGGAGCGUCCCGACAUGCGGUGGUGAAUUAAAACCUCGUCAUACCGUCGGCCGUYCCUGUCCUAAUGCUCUCGAUGACCC